UCAAAGUAUUCUUAUGAAAAUCUAGAUUUCAAUAAAAAAAUAACGUGAGAACAACGAAAAUUAAAGAUGACUGUAAUAGACUAUGAAUCAUUAAUUUUAUAAAAGAAAACUUAACAAAAUUUGUUAAAAUAAUAUAUAUUAUAAAAUAUAUUAUUAUUUUUUAAAAAACAGUGAAUUGAAACAUCUAAUUAGCUGUAAUAAAAAUCAAAAGAGAUUUUGACAGUAGUGGCGAACGAAAAUGAAAUAAAUAAAUAAAUUAUAAUUUUUCUAAAAAAAGAAGUUUACUGAAAGAAAUAUCAGAGAAGGUGUAAGUCCUGUAUUUUUUUAUGAAAAAAUAAAUACCAUAUAUAUAUUUAUAAAAAUAAAGCAAAACAUGUGUAAUUUUGUUAGAAAAUAGAAGAACCAUCUUCUAAAUUUAAAAAUUUUUUGAAAAUCGAUAGUGAAAAAGUACCGUAAGGGAAUGAUGAAAGAGGCCCCCAAUGUGGAGUAUCAAAGAGAUUUAAAAAUGAUAUACUAAAAAUCAAUUGAAGCUUUAAUAAAAGUUACAAUGUACCUUUUGCAUAAUGGAUUAGUAACUUAAUUACUUUAGCAAGUUUAAGUGUAAAAUAAAAUAUUUUUUAAAACGGAGACGUAGAAAAAUCAAUUUUUAAAAUAAAAUAUAAAGUUAAAAUAUUUAAACCCGAAACCAGGUGAUCUAAUCAUGAACAGAUUGAAAUACGUUUAAUUAUAAGCUUAGAAAGAUUUAACCCGUAUAUGUGGAAAUAUAUUGGGAUGAUUUGUGAUUAGGGGUGAAAGGCCAAUCAAACUUGGAUAUAGCUGGUUUUUCGCGAAAUCUAUUUAAGUAGAGCUUUUUAAUAUUUAUUUUUGGGGUAGAGCACUUUUUGAGUAAGGGGGGCUUUUUGCUUUACUAAAUUUAAGAAAACUCCGAAUACAAAAAUAUAAAAAUUAAAAAAGACAGACAUUGGGUGCGAAGAUCCAUUGUCGAAAGGGAAACAGCCCUCAUUGAAAAUUAAGGUUUCUAAUUUAUCUUAAGUGAGUAAGAAUAUAAAAAAAUUUAGACAGUUAAAAGGUAAGCUUGGAGGCAGCUAUCCUUUAAAGAAAGCGUAAUAGCUCAUUAACCUAGUUUUAUUAAUUCUAAAAUGUAGAGAAACUAAUAUUUAAAACCGAAAUUUCAAAAUUUAUAAAAUAAAUAAAUUGGUAGCGAAAUAUUUUGUAUAUUGAUCAAAUAAUAUAUUAUAAAAUAUAUGAAAAAAUCAAAAGCAAAAAUGCUAAUAUGAGUAACGUUAAACAAUGAGUAUACAACAUUGUCGCCAAAAGUUCUAGGUUUUUCAGGUAAAGAUAUACUUCCUGCAAUUUAGACAGUUUCUAAGAAAAAAACGAAAGUUUUAUUUAAUGAAAUUUAAAAUUCUUUUUAAGUUAAAAAAUGUAAAAAUUUUAUUAAAGUAUUAAAUAAAUUCAAUAUUUAAUUUUUUAUAAAUUUUUCGGGAAAAAUUUUUUUAUUUAAAUUUUAAAAAACUGUACUUAAAUCGACACAGAUGAACUGGUAGAAUAUACUAAGGCGCUUGAGAGAAUUGUGUUGAAGGAACUCGGCAAAUUGGCUCUGUAACUUCGGAAAAAGGGGUGUCUAAAUUAUUAUAAAAAAAUAAUAUUAGAUAACAUUGAAUAAGGGGGGGCGACUGUUUAAUAAAAACACAGGACUCUGCAAAAUUGUAAAAUGAUGUAUAGGGUCUGACACCUGCCCAGUGCUGUAAGGUGAAAAGGACGUGUAAUUGCACGAAAUAUAAGCCCCAGUAAACGGCGGCCGUAACUCUGACGGUCCUAAGGUAGCGAAAUUCCUUGUCGGGUAAGUUCCGACCUGCAUGAAUGGUGUAACGACUUCUCCGCUGUCUCCAACACAAGCUCAGUGAAAUUGAAUUAUUUGUGAAGAUGCAAAUUUUUUAUGGCUAGACGAAAAGACCCCGUGCACCUUUACUACACUUUUACAUUGUAAAAAGGAACAAUACGUACAGAUAUAGGUGGGAGCUUACAAUUUUAGAUUAUUAUAUAAUUUAAUUUAAGCAUCAAUGAAAUACCACUCUUAUUUUUUUUUUUUACUAACUCUAUUAUUAUAAAGAACAGUGUAAGAUUGGUAGUUUGACUGGGGCGGUCUCCUCCUAAAAAGUAACGGGGGAGUACAUAAGGUAAAUUCAAAUUUGAUGUUAUUAAAAAUUGUAGAGCAUAAUGGUAUAAAUUUGCUUAACUAUAAGACUUACAAGUCGAAUAGAAACUUAAAAGUUUGUCAUAGUGAUCCGAUGAUUUUAUAUGGAAAAGUCAUCGCUCAACGGAUAAAAGGUACGCCGGGGAUAACAGGCUAAUGAUUCUUGAGAGUCCGAAUUGACGGAAUCGUUUGGCACCUCGAUGUCGGCUCAUCAUUUCCUGGAAUUGAAACCGAUUCCAAGGGUUCGGCUGUUCGCCGAUUAAAAUGGUACGCGAGCUGGGUUUAGAACGUCGUGAGACAGUUUGGAUUCUAUCUACCAUAAACAAUGAAAAUUAAAAAAAGCUGACCUUAGUACGAGAGGACCGGGAAAGAUUAAUCUCUAGUGAAUUGGUUGUUUUUUAAAAAGCAUAAUCAAUAAGCUAUAUUAAAUCGAAAGAAUUGCUGAAGGCAUAUAAGCAAGAAAUUGUUUUUAAGAUAAAUUUUCAUUCAAAUGUAUAAGACUAAUACGAUAUAGGUUUAAUAUAUAUAUAUAUUAAUAUAUAAAGUUUUUAAACACUAAUUUAUAGAAUUUGAAAAAUAAAUAUA
rnacentral:rRNA from 1 species